UACGUAGGGGGCUAGCGUUGUCCGGAUUUAUUGGGCGUAAAGAGCGUGUAGGCGGCCAUGUAGGUCCGGUGUGAAAACUCGAGGCUUAACCUCGAGAUGUCAUCGGAAACCAUUUGGCUAGAGUCCGGAAGAGGAGAGUGGAAUUCCUGGUGUAGCGGUGAAAUGCGUAGAUAUCUGGAGGAAUACCGGUGGCGAAGGCGGCAUCCUGGACCGGCAUUGACGCUGAACAGCGAGAGCUAGGGGAGCAAACGGG
rnacentral:rRNA from 1 species